rnacentral:rRNA from 1 species
CCUACGGGUGGCAGCAGUGAGGAAUAUUGGUCAAUGGGCGGAAGCCUGAACCAGCCAAGUCGCGUGAGGGAAUAAGGCCCUACGGGUCGUCAACCUCUUUUGCCGGGGAGCAAGGGCGGGGACGUGUCCCGGCCCGGAGAGUACCCGGAGAAAAAGCAUCGGCUAACUCCGUGCCAGCAGCCGCGGUAAUACGGAGGAUGCGAGCGUUAUCCGGAUUUAUUGGGUUUAAAGGGUGCGUAGGUGGGCUUUUAAGUCAGCGGUAAAAAUUCGGGGCUCAACCCCGUCCGGCCGUUGAAACUGGGGGCCUUGAGUGGGCGAGAAGAAGGCGGAAUUCCGUGUGUAGCGGUGAAAUGCGUAGAUAUACGGAGGAACACCAGUGGCGAAGGCGGCCUGCUGGACAUUAACUGACGCUGAGGCGCGAAAGCGUGGGGAGCAAACAGGAUUAGAUACCCUAGUAGUC